CUGUCUGUUCUAUAGGGCAUA
rnacentral:miRNA from 14 species